rnacentral:rRNA from 1 species
UUGUCUCAAAGAUUAAGCCAUGCAUGUCUCAGUACAAGCCAAAUUAAGGUGAAACCGCGAAAGGCUCAUUAAAUCAGUUAUGGUUCCUUAGAUCGUACUCACAUUUACUUGGAUAACUGUGGUAAUUCUAGAGCUAAUACAUGCAAACAGAGUUCCGAACCGGUUACGGAAGGAACGCUUUUAUUAGAUCAAAACCACUCGGCGUUAAUGUGCGUUCACGCACAUUUCGUUUCGAACAUUCUGGUGAAUCUGAAUAACUUUUUGCUGAUCGCAUGGUCUCGCACCGGCGACGCAUCUUUCAAAUGUCUGCCUUAUCAACUGUCGAUGGUAGGUUCUGUGCCUACCAUGGUUGUAACGGGUAACGGGGAAUCAGGGUUCGAUUCCGGAGAGGGAGCCUGAGAAACGGCUACCACAUCCAAGGAAGGCAGCAGGCGCGCAAAUUACCCACUCCCGGCACGGGGAGGUAGUGACGAAAAAUAACGAUACGGGACUCAUCCGAGGCCCCGUAAUCGGAAUGAGUACACUCUAAAUCCUUUAACGAGUAUCAAUUGGAGGGCAAGUCUGGUGCCAGCAGCCGCGGUAAUUCCAGCUCCAAUAGCGUAUAUUAAAGUUGUUGCGGUUAAAAAGCUCGUAGUCGAAUCUGUGUCCCGUGCCGCUGGUUCAUCGUUCGCGGUGUUUACUGGCGUGUCCGCGGGACGUCCUGCCGGUGGGCUUAGCCAAAGCUGGUGUGUAGUGCACUUAAUGUGUACUAUCGCAUUCUUGCUGUGCGGCCCUAUUUAAAAUCCCGUCGCGGUGCUCUUUACUGAGUGUCGAGGCGGGCCGGCACGUUUACUUUGAACAAAUUAGAGUGCUUAAAGCAGGCUAAAUUUUGCCUGAAUACUGUGUGCAUGGAAUAAUGGAAUAGGACCUCGGUUCUAUUUUAUUGGUUUUCGGAACCCCGAGGUAAUGAUUAAUAGGAACGGAUGGGGGCAUUCGUAUUGCGACGUUAGAGGUGAAAUUCUUGGAUCGUCGCAAGACGGACAGAAGCGAAAGCAUUUGCCAAAAACGCUUUCAUUGAUCAAGAACGAAAGUUAGAGGUUCGAAGGCGAUCAGAUACCGCCCUAGUUCUAACCAUAAACGAUGCCAGCUAGCGAUCCGCCGACGUUCCUCCGAUGACACGGCGGGCAGCUUCCGGGAAACCAAAGCUUUUGGGUUCCGGGGGAAGUAUGGUUGCAAAGCUGAAACUUAAAGGAAUUGACGGAAGGGCACCACCAGGAGUGGAGCCUGCGGCUUAAUUUGACUCAACACGGGAAACCUCACCAGGCCCGGACACCGGAAGGAUUGACAGAUUGACAGCUCUUUCUUGAUUCGGUGGGUGGUGGUGCAUGGCCGUUCUUAGUUGGUGGAGCGAUUUGUCUGGUUAAUUCCGAUAACGAACGAGACUCUACCCUGCUAACUAGGCGUAUUUCCGACAUCUCGAAGGCCCGUCGGCCCGGCUUUCCCCUUUCACGGGGUAGAGUUGUGGUCGUGCGCGGUUUUUACUGUCGGCGUACAAACAAAUCUUCUUAGAGGGACAGGCGGCUUCUAGCCGCACGAGAUUGAGCAAUAACAGGUCUGUGAUGCCCUUAGAUGUUCUGGGCCGCACGCGCGCUACACUGAAGGAAUCAGCGUGUCUACCCUGACCGAGAGGUCCGGGAAACCCGCUGAAACUCCUUCGUGCUAGGGAUUGGGGCUUGCAAUUGUUCCCCAUGAACGAGGAAUUCCCAGUAAACGCGAGUCAUAAGCUCGCGUUGAUUACGUCCCUGCCCUUUGUACACACCGCCCGUCGCUACUACCGAUUGAAUGAUUUAGUGAGGUCUUCGGACCGGUACGCGGCGGCGUUUCGUGCGUCACCGAUGCUGCUGGGAAGAUGACCAAACUUGAUCAUUU